GCCACAGUGGCUUAGUGGUUAGCACGCUUGUCUCGCACCCUUGGGGUUACGGGUUCGGAUCCCGCUUCUGACC